rnacentral:lncRNA from 1 species
GAAGAAGUAGGAGGCUACGGGUAUUUGUGAGCUCUAGCAAUGUCUACAAAGAAGGAGAAUAGGAUGUGGACAGGAAAGAAUUGACUUCAUAAACAACUUGACUCAUGUGAUGGUUCUCUCUCUGACUCUUUGAAUCUCAGCACAUUAUUAAUCUCCAUGUUAAUGGAUUGAGGUUGGGCUUUUUUUUUUUUUAAUGUCUCUUUAUAAUCUUAUCUUUGCCUGUACAAAGGCAUUAGCAUACAUUUUCUGGGCUCUCAGCCAGAUGAAUCAUUUUCUUUUCUGUUUCCCCAUCUCUAUAGUGCCCUGGUCUUUGCCAGAACCAAACAGUGGUCACAGCCAGGACCUGCACCAGGGGUCUUGAAUCACCUUGUCCGGUUCCCAGAUGCCCCUCCUGCUCUCUGAAUGGAGCCCACCCUCAACAAGCACUCCGGCAGGACCAGGUGCCAUGAAGACACUGCCACUUGGAAUCUGAUAAGCAACAUUUGGUACCAAGCCCAGAUCAGCUUUUCAUCACCCUAGACAAGAGAUGUGCUUGGGACUCUGCAGUCUCCCCUGAAGCCCUCAGGCAGGAGUGUUUGGUGUCUCAGCCUGAAAGGAGCAGUAAUGGUAGGAUUGAAGGCACACAGCAAUCCAGGAAGAAGGCAAUGGUAAGUAGAGCCCUGAAAUCAUACCAGAUGGCCGGUUACUCCUUAGUCUCUAGAUUCAGCUGGUUCUGCAAGAAGAGUUAUCAAGCUAUCAGCUUUCUCCUUUAUUUCUCUUGCAAGCAUCCUUCUGUACCUUUAAGACACAGCAUCUAAGUAGCUUUGAUGCUACUUAGGCCUACAAUGGAGAAAUUAAGAAAACAUU